GUGCCAGCCGCCGCGGUAAUACCGGCAGCCCGAGUGAUGGCCGAUCUUAUUGGGCCUAAAGCGUCCGUAGCUGGCCAGCCAAGUUCGUCGGGAAAUCCACCUGCCCAACAGGUGGGCGUCCGGCGAAAACUGUCUGGCUUGGAACCGGAAGGCUCAGAGGGUACGUCGAGGGUAGGAGUGAAAUCCUGUAAUCCUCGACGGACCACCGAUGGCGAAAGCACUCUGAGAAGACGGAUUCGACAGUGAGGGACGAAAGCGAGGGUCUCGAACCGGAUUAGAUACCCGGGUAGUCC
rnacentral:rRNA from 1 species